UCGAACGAAGCGCCUGCGGCGGACCCCUCCGGGGGAAAGCCGCAGGGGACUGAGUGGCGGACGGGUGAGCAACGCGUGGGCAACCUGCCCCGUACCGGGGGACAACAGCCGGAAACGGCUGCUAAUACCGCAUAUUCCCGCGGGGCCGCAUGGCCCUGCGGGGAAAGCUCCGGCAGUACGGGAUGGGCCCGCGUCUGAUUAGCUUGUUGGCGGGGUAACGGCCCACCAAGGCUGCGAUCAGUAGCCGGCCUGAGAGGGCGGCCGGCCACAUUGGGACUGAGACACGGCCCAGACUCCUGCGGGAGGCAGCAGUGGGGGAUAUUGCACAAUGGGGGGAACCCUGAUGCAGCGACGCCGCGUGAACGAAGAAAUAUUUCGGUAUGUAAAGUUCUAUCAGCAGGGAAGAAAAUGACAGUACCUGACCAAGAAGCCCCGGCUAACUACGUGCCAGCAGCCGCGGUAAUACGUAGGGGGCGAGCGUUAUCCGGAUUCACUGGGCGUAAAGGGAGCGCAGGCGGCACGGCAAGUCCGGUGUGAAAGCCCGGGGCCCAACCCCGGGACUGCACUGGAAACUGCCGGGCUGGAGUGUCGGAGGGGCAGGCGGAAUUCCUAGUGUAGCGGUGAAAUGCGUAGAUAUUAGGAGGAACACCGGUGGCGAAGGCGGCCUGCUGGACGACGACUGACGCUGAGGCUCGAAAGCGUGGGG
rnacentral:rRNA from 1 species